rnacentral:rRNA from 2 species
GACGAACCGUACGAACGUUAUUCGGAAUCACUGGGCUUAAAGGGUGCGUAGGCUGCGCAGAAAGUUGGGUGUGAAAUCCCUCGGCUUAACCGAGGAACUGCGCCCAAAACUACUGUGCUCGAGGGAGACAGAGGUGAGCGGAACUUAGGGUGGAGCGGUGAAAUGCGUUGAUAUCCUAAGGAACACCGGUGGCGAAAGCGGCUCACUGGGUCUCUUCUGACGCUGAGGCACGAAAGCUAGGGGAGCGAACGGG